GUUGAAGUUGGGCCUGUUCAGAUUUUUGUGUCAAACCAUUUGAUACCGGAUGAUAUGGAGUUUCAAUCUAGAGACAUGCUAAACUAUACGACUUCAGACGAAUCUGUUAAAAUUCAAAAAGAUAGUGAGGUUCGCUUAAAGAGAGUAGAUGCCACAGAAAUUGUAUGCCCGUUAUCUUUUUUAUCUUUGAAACAAAAAUUCCUUGAUAGUGUUUC